rnacentral:rRNA from 1 species
CCUACGGGAGGCUGCCGUGGGGAAUAUUGCACAAUGGGGGAAACCCUGAUGCAGCGACGCCGCGUGAGUGAAGAAGUAAUUCGUUAUGUAAAGCUCUAUUAGCAGGGAAGAAAAUGACGGUACCUGAGUAAGAAGCCCCGGCUAACUACGUGCCAGCAGCCGGGGUAAUACGUGGGGGGCAAGCGUUAUCCUGAUUUACUGGGUGUAAAGGGAGCGUAGACGGCAGUGCAAGUCUGGAGUGAAAGGCGGAGGCCAAACCCCCGGACUGCUCUGGAAACUGUACGGCUGGAGUGCAGGAGAGGUAAGUGGAAUUCGUGGUGUAGCGGUGAAAUGCGUAGAUAUUAGGAGGAACACCAGUGGCGAAGGCGGCUUACCGGACUGUAACUGACGUUGAGGCUCGAAAGCGUGGGGAGCAAACAGGAUUAGAUACCCUGGUAGUC